UAAACAUGAUGAUGACAGAGAUUGGUUUCGCUUACUUGACUGAUGUCAUGUGAAGUAACAUCUCUCUUGGCUGUCUGAUUUA
ensembl:snoRNA